GUUAAAUCUUGGGAGGUAUGUACUUUCCUCCACUAGAAAACCUUAUUCUAGCCAAGGACAGUACACAUCACAGUGAUGUCUGGUGUACACCCCCCGCACCUGAGAGCUUUGGCUCUCGCUCCCCGCACCUCCAGCUAUUGACUUGCCGUCUGCCGUAGGGACACUUGGAAUAAAGCAUCGUUUGGCAAAUACUUCUCAGUGGUUUUUACAGAUGAAAAAGAAGGAAAAGGACAUCCAUUAGGGAGGAAGACUAAUGAAUCGUUUGAUGCAUGUGUCUUUACAGAGGAAGAGGUUCUACAAUUGCUGUCUAAAGUGAAAACAAAUAAGUCACAGGGGCCUGAUGGGAUACACCCAAAAUUAUUGAAAGAGCUUAGUCGUGAGCUAGCAAAACUGUUAACAGAUUUAUUUAACCAAUCACUGGUAACAGGAGUUGUCCCAGAAGAUUGGAAAUUAGCAAAUGUCGUGCCAAUUCACAAGAAAGGAAGUAGGGAGGAAUCAAGCAA